rnacentral:tRNA from 1 species
GCCAUUGUAGCUCAGUCGGUAGAGCACCCCCAUGGUAAGGGGGAGGUCUCCGGUUCGAUCCCGGACAAUGGCUCAA